GCCUGGCAUGGUGGCUCAGGCCUGUAAUCCCAGCAUUUUGGGAGGCUGAGGCUGUAGUGCACUAUGCCAACCGGGUAUCUGCAUCAAGUUCGGCCUCAAUAUGACCUCCCAGGCGUGGAGGACCACCAGGUUGCCUAAGUAGGAGUGAACUGGCCCAGGUUGGAAACAGAGGUCAAAACUCCUGUGCUGAGGCUGGGUGCUGUGGCUCAUGCUUGUAAUCCCAGCUCUUUGAGACUGUCUUAA
ensembl:misc_RNA Metazoa_SRP Metazoan signal recognition particle RNA